rnacentral:rRNA from 1 species
UACGUAGGCAGCAAGCGUUGUUCGGAGUUACUGGGCGUAAAGGGUGUGUAGGCGGUUGUUUAAGUUUGGUGUGAAAUCUCCCGGCCUAACUGGGAGGGGUCGCUCUAGACUGGGGGACUUGAGGCUGGCAGAGGUAGGUGGAAUUCCUGGUGUAGUGGUGAAAUGCGUAGAGAUCAGGAGGAACACCGGUGGCGAAGGCGGCCUACUGGGCCAGCACUGACGCUGAGGCGCGAAAGCUCGGGGAGCGAACGGG